UACGGAGGAUGCGAGCGUUAUCCGGAUUUAUUGGGUUUAAAGGGUGCGUAGGCGGUCCGUUAAGUCAGCGGUAAAAUUCGGGGCUCAACCCCGUCGUGCCGUUGAAACUGAUGUUCUUGAGUGGGCGAGAAGUAUGCGGAAUGCGCGGUGUAGCGGUGAAAUGCAUAGAUAUCACGCAGAACCCCGAUUGCGAAGGCAGCAUACCGGCGCCCUACUGACGCUGAGGCACGAAAGUGCGGGUAUCGAACAGG
rnacentral:rRNA from 1 species